rnacentral:lncRNA from 1 species
GAGAACCACGUGGAGGAAAAGCACGCGAGUUUGGAGCGGGUGGAGCAGGAACAGAGGUGGACUGGAAUGUCACACGACGGGGCAGCUGGAAGGGCACCACUGAGUUCAGUACUUCAAAAUUGCCGUGCUCUACCUCUCCCCAGUGCACAAAAACACUCUCCACACCAAGCUGCUGCUGCUGGGGGAUGGAGGGAUGGCGUCAGCGAUUCAAGACUGUUUUUCCUACCUGUUCAGCACUUCUUUCAGCGAUAUGAAGUUAAAUCCAGAGUCACACAGGCUAGAGUGCAGUGGCAUGAUCUCAGCUCCCCACAACCUCUGCCUCCGAUGUUCAAGCGAUUCUCCUGUCUCAGCCUCCUGAGUAGCUGGAAUUACAGGCACACUCUCCUAGAGAGGUGGCAAGAAAAUCUCUCAGCAGAUCUAGGGCUCCAUUUGACCAGCUCAUCAUGCUUGAUGGAAAAGGAUCACCUCUUUCUCAGUAGCGUCAGCCAAAGUUCCAGGGCUGAAUCUCAUGGAAACAAUCUGGAAUAUGAGCCUAUCCCAGAACCAAUCUCUGUGGCCAGGGGGAUGCACUAUCCUGAACUAGCAG